rnacentral:ncRNA from 1 species
CAAAGGUUUGGUCCUGACUUUACUGUCAGCUCUAGCUAGAUUUACACAUGCAAGUAUCCGCCCGCCCGUGAGAAUGCCCACAAUUCCCUGCUUGGGAAUGAGGAGCCGGUAUCAGGCACGCCCCCGCUCGGCCCACGACACCUUGCUUAGCCACACCCUCAAGGGAAUCCAGCAGUGAUAAACAUUAAGCUAUAAGUGAAAACUUGACUUAGUUAAAGCUAAGAAGGCCGGUAAAACUCGUGCCAGCCACCGCGGUUAUACGAGAGGCCUAAGUUGACAGACAGCGGCGUAAAGAGUGGUUAAGGAAAACACAAAACUAAAGCCGAACGCCUUCAGAACUGUCAUACGUUUUCGAAGGUAUGAAGCCCAACCACGAAAGUGGCUUUAUCCCCCCCCCCCUGAACCCACGAAAGCUAAGAAACAAACUGGGAUUAGAUACCCCACUAUGCUUAGCCCUGAACAUUGAUCGUUUAUUACACCAAACAUCCGCCUGGGAAUUACGAACACCAGUUUAAAACCCAAAGGACUUGGCGGUGCUUAACAUCCACCUAGAGGAGCCUGUUCUAGAACCGAUAACCCCCGUUUAACCUCACCCUCUCUUGUUUUUCCCGCCUAUAUACCACCGUCGUCAGCUUACCCUGUGAAGGACGAAUAGUAAGCACAAUUGGCACAGCCCAAUACGUCAGGUCGAGGUGUAGUGCAUGAGAGGGGAAGAAAUGGGCUACAUUCGCUAACAACUAGCGAAUACGAAUGAUGUGUUGAAAUACACAGCUGAAGGAGGAUUUAGCAGUAAGCAAGAAGCAGAGUGUCUUGCUGAAACCGGCUCUAAAGCGCGCACACACCGCCCGUCACCCUCCCCAAGCUCCCCGGACCAUUUUUAACUAAAGCCCUACAACUGCAAAGGAGAGGAAAGUCGUAACAUGGUAAGCGUACCGGAAGGUGCGCUUGGUAAAAU